CUUAUCCAUAUUAAUGUUAAAGUAUUAAAUCACAUUGUUCUUCCUUUUCAUUCAAGAAAACAACAAGAACUACAAGAGCUUUACAAAGGAAUGCUUUCAAGUGCUUCAGUGACAAGAUUUUGUAGCCUUAGUGUUGAUAUCCUAUCCUGCUGAAAAAUAUCACAUUUAGAAAGUAGCUGUUAAUUCACCUUGAUUAUGUUCCCAGUCAGUGACAUAAUGAGCUAUCUGCUGAGAAAUCUAUUAUGGGCAAUCGGCUCGCAUGAAGGAAUCUUGAGUAUUUACAUGUUACUCCAUUCAUUUCAAAGGAAACUUUUAAGCAAACUCUUCAUUGGCCAUCCAUGA
rnacentral:lncRNA from 1 species